GAAAUGCGAUAAGUAAUGUGAAUUGCAGAAUUCAGUGAAUCAUCGAAUCUUUGAACGCACCUUGUGCUCCUUGGUAUUCCUUGGAGCAUGCCUGUUUGAGUAUCAUGAAAUCUUCAAAGUAAAUCUUUUGUUAACUCAAUUGGUUUCUACUUUGGUAUUGGAGGUCUUUGCAGCUUCACACCUGCUCCUCUUUGUUCAUUAGCUGGAUCUCAGUGUUAUGCUUGGUUCCACUCGGCGUGAUAAGUUAUCUAUCGCUGAGGACACUGUAAAAGGUGGCCAAGGUAAAUGCAGAUGAACUGCUUCUAAUAGUCCAUUGACUUGGACAAUACUUUUAUGAUCUGAUCUCAAAUCAGGUAGGACUACCCGCUGAACUUAAGC
rnacentral:misc_RNA from 1 species